GAUGAACGCUGGCGGCGUGCCUAAUACAUGCAAGUCGAGCGAACAGAUGAGAAGCUUGCUUCUCUGAUGUUAGCGGCGGACGGGUGAGUAACACGUGGGUAACCUACCUAUAAGACUGGGAUAACUCCGGGAAACCGGGGCUAAUACCGGAUAAUAUUUUGAACCGCAUGGUUCAAUAGUGAAAGACGGUUUCGGCUGUCACUUAUAGAUGGACCCGCGCCGUAUUAGCUAGUUGGUAAGGUAACGGCUUACCAAGGCGACGAUACGUAGCCGACCUGAGAGGGUGAUCGGCCACACUGGAACUGAGACACGGUCCAGACUCCUACGGGAGGCAGCAGUAGGGAAUCUUCCGCAAUGGGCGAAAGCCUGACGGAGCAACGCCGCGUGAGUGAUGAAGGUCUUCGGAUCGUAAAACUCUGUUGUUAGGGAAGAACAAAUUUGUUAGUAACUGAACAAGUCUUGACGGUACCUAACCAGAAAGCCACGGCUAACUACGUGCCAGCCGCCGCCGUAAGAC
rnacentral:rRNA from 1 species